CCUACGGGGGGCAGCAGUGGGGAAUAUUGGACAAUGGGGGCAACCCUGAUCCAGCCAUGCCGCGUGUGUGAAGAAGGCCCUCGGGUUGUAAAGCACUUUCAGUGAGGAAGAACGCCUGGUGGUUAAUACCCAUCAGGAAAGACAUCACUCACAGAAGAAGCACCGGCUAACUCCGUGCCAGCAGCCGCGGUAAUACGGAGGGUGCGAGCGUUAAUCGGAAUUACUGGGCGUAAAGCGCGCGUAGGUGGCUUGAUAAGCCGGUUGUGAAAGCCCCGGGCUCAACCUGGGAAAGGCAUCCGGAACUGUCAAGCUAGAGUGCAGGAGAGGAAGGUAGAAUUCCCGGUGUAGCGGUGAAAUGCGUAGAGAUCGGGAGGAAUACCAGUGGCGAAGGCGGCCUUCUGGACUGACACUGACACUGAGGUGCGAAAGCGUGGGUAGCAAACAGGAUUAGAUACCCCAGUAGUC
rnacentral:rRNA from 1 species